rnacentral:sRNA from 1 species
UAUCUCUCCGUACGGGGAAGGAUGAGAAGCUUCGACUAAGGUUCGAUUCGAGUGAAAGCGAGAAAGCGUUGCCGCAGGCAACGACCCGAAGGGCGAAGCGCGCAGCGCUGAGUCAACCUUCCCCCACCACCA